GCCCUCGUGGAUCAUGGUUGAUUAUCUUCACUUCUUACUCUGACAUCCAGGAGUUCUUUGGCAUGAAGACAUCGUAGGUUCGAAUCCUACCGAGGGCA